UACGGAGGGGGCUAGCGGUAUUCGGAAGUACUGGGAGUAAAGCGCGCGCAGGUGGCGCAAUAAGUGGCUGGUGAAAGCCCUCGGCUCAACCGAGGAACUGCCUGCCAACCUGCUGCGCUUGAGGCCGGGAGGGGGAAGCGGAAUUCCUGGUGUAGCGGUGAUAUGCGUAGAUACCAGGAGGAACACCGGUGGCGAAGGCGGCUUCCUGGACCGGCUCUGACACUCAUGCGCGAAAGCGUGGGGAGCAAACAGG
rnacentral:rRNA from 1 species